rnacentral:lncRNA from 1 species
GGGAGCGUCUACACUCCUGGCCGAGGGAGCCAGGCAGUCUCUUUGCAUCUUCCCAGCACCGUGGUGACAAGUAGCUGCCCUGGGUUGCAAGAUGGGAAGAGGAACUCUGCUUCCUUCCAGAGUGUUCUCCUGUCCUGAAGAGUGAUGAAUCUGCUGAACAAUUUAGACAGCCAUUUGCACGUCAAUUGACCCUUCUGUGAGUUCACCACGACCUGAGAAAGAACUCAGACAAGGUGUACCAGACAAUGUUUGGAACUACGAAGAAAGAAGAGAGAGAGAGAAAGAUGAAGGAAAUGAGAGAAGCUCACCUGAUGAAAAGAAA